AGGAAGAGGAAGAGGAAGAGGAAGCAGAAGAAGGACAAGAUGCUGAUGGAGGCAGGGGAGAAGAGGCUGAAGAUGAGUAUGUAGAAGGACAAAUAUUAGAAGAUGUGGAUGAAGAAGAAAGCUCACCCUCAAUGAAUUCUCCAUCCCCAUUCAGUUCAUGGAAUUACAGACAUCGUCAUGAAGUUGCUAAUGAUUCUGAACAGGUUCCAACUGCAACUUCCCCGCCACUUCUGCCAUCUGAAGCUUCCAAUCAGUAUAGUGGACACCUCUCCUCAAGAAAUACAUCAAUGGUGAGUUUUUUCAUUAUUCCUUUCAGAGAGUACCUAGUGUAGAGUUCCCAACUCUUUGACAUUUUUGGAUUCACAGGAACUGGAACUAAUUUACAAUUUAAGAGGCCAUAUGGAGCAACUUCAGCGUGAAAUGUCUGAGCUCAGAAGAUCGAUGCAGACAUGCAUGGAAGUGCAAGCCAAAUUGCUGAACUCUCUAAGGCAGGAAGUACAUCCAGGUGAACUAGGAGUAGAUUUCAAUCUUUUCCAGACAAUGACAAUAAACUAUGAAGUAUAUAUAAGCAAAUUAUGCCUGAAAUUGUUUUACAGUUCAAGAGGCAGCAAUGAAUUCAUUCGAUAUCGCAACAAAGAGACGCAGUUGCUGUAUCUGCUAUGAAAUGCAGGUCGACUCAUUUUUGUAUAGAUGUGGGCACAUGUGCACCUGUCUCAAAUGUGCUCAUGAGCUGCAAUGGAGUAGUGGAAAAUGUCCAAUGUGUCGAGCUCCAAUAAUGGAUGUUGUGCGUGCAUAUAUGGACUCAUAGAGUAUCAGCGAACGAGUCCUUGCUCCAGAGGACCGUCUUUCUUCCUACAACUCAACUCAGUUUAACCAUGAAAUGGAAAAAAAAAAAAUGACAAAUGAUUUUAUUUGUAUGCUUUCUUCACCUGAUUUGAUUACUAAUACCAUAUAGUUUUUGCACAUGCUAAGUAAUUUAUUACCAAAAAAAUAUGUUUCUCCUCUCCACAUAUACGCUUUAUAUGUUUUUUUUUGUAGGAGUAACAACAAUAACAAUCUCUAUCCACAGUUCAAUUUAUCGAUGCUUCAACUCUUCUAUGUUUCUGUAUGUAAUAGCUAUUGAAUGUUCUAACUAUAACAAGCUUCCGUAAACAUUAA
rnacentral:misc_RNA from 1 species